GGUCCAGACUCCUACGGGAGGCAGCAGUGGGGAAUAUUGCACAAUGGGGGAAACCCUGAUGCAGCGACGCCGCGUGAGCGAUGAAGUAUUUCGGUAUGUAAAGCUCUAUCAGCAGGGAAGAAAAUGACGGUACCUGACUAAGAAGCCCCGGCUAACUACGUGCCAGCAGCCGCGGUAAUACGUAGGGGGCAAGCGUUAUCCGGAUUUACUGGGUGUAAAGGGAGCGUAGACGGCGGUGCAAGCCAGAUGUGAAAGCCCGGGGCUCAACCCCGGGACUGCUCUUGGAACUGCGCGGCUGGAGUGCAGGAGGGGCAGGCGGAAUUCCUGGUGUAGCGGUGAAAUGCGUAGAUAUCAGGAGGAACACCGGUGGCGAAGGCGGCCUGCUGGACUGCGACUGACGUUGAGGCCCGAAAGCGUGGGGAGCAAACAGGAUUAGAUACCCCAGUAAU
rnacentral:rRNA from 1 species